UCUGGUUUGAAUACUUCUGGAUUUUCCCAUUUGUUUGGAUCUCGUCCUAUCGCCCAAGCAUUCACAAGGAUGCUUGUCUUUUCUUCUACAUCAUAAUCAUUUAUUUGACAUUUCUCCCUACAUUCAUGAGGAGCGAGAAGUGGCACAGGUGGAUGGAGCCUCAAGGUUUCUUUGAUGACGUUUUGCAUGUAGCUCAUUUCCUUGCUAAAAGAAUUAUCAUAAUCAUCAGCUUCUGUACCGAUUAUUUUAAAGGUUUUUCUCACCUCAGAUGUCACUUUCUUCAUGGUUUCUGGAUUUUUCACCAACUCAGAUAUUACCCAUUCUAGUGUUGUGGAAGUUGAUUCUGUUCCCGCAAUGAAAAUGUCCUAAAAAUACCAAUUGAAAAAUGAUUUAUAGUGUUUCAAGGAAAUACGUACAUAUAGAUCGACUUUAAUUUUGAGUUAUAAAAAAUGAUCAACUUACCAACAUUAUCGCCUUCAAAUUACUCAUAGUAAAUUCAAAGCCAGAUUCAUUCUUCUUUUGAAUUUUGAGAAGAAUAUCAAGAAAAUCUUCAUCUUCAUCUGCUACCCCAUUUUUGUUAUUUUUUGAUUUCUCAAGAUGUUCAUCUACGACUGUAUUUAGAAUAUGAUCAUUUGUCCUAUACGUCUUUUCCGCUUUUUUCCUCAAACCAGUCAACCAAACGAUGAAUUUCUCCACAGCAGGAAAGUAAUUAGAAAUGUUGAAAUCAACUACAAGAUCAAUAGAUUCCUUCAUUGAAACCAGAAAUGCCUCCUUUUGUCUAAGGUUAUUGCCAAACCCAGCACGGCUGGCGAUGUUGUUGUUAAGAGAAAGAAACAUUUCACUUAGAUUAACUGGAGUACCGUUGGUUGCAGCUUUUGUAAGAACGUGCAUCAUUUCGCAUACUUCUUCUCUUCUCAAUCUGUUAAAAGACUUCACCUUUUUAGCACUGAGAAGCUCAAGAGUGACGAUCUUUCUCAUUUGCCUCCAGUAUUCUCCAUAAGGUGCUAGAAAAAUAUCGGUAUUGUUGUACAUAAUAAUUCUAGCCGUAAAUAUAUCUGGUCGAGAUGCAAAGUUUGUGUCAUGAAUCUUAAGGAACUCCUUUGCAACAUCUGAUGAAGAGACAAUGAUAUGUGGAAUCUGACCGAAUUGUAAGUGCAUGAACGGACCGUGCUUCUUGGCGAGAUCUCGGAAGACUCGAGGAAUGUGGUCGUCGCCUGAAAGAAAUAUGUUAUGAAGAUUGCCAAUGAUGGGAAGCUUAGUUGGUCCUGGUGGUAGUCUUUUGGUGUUUUUCAUCUUAAUUAGAAUGAAAAUCCCCAAUGGUAAGAACAAAGAAAAGACUAAUGACCAUGAUGGGAAUUGAAGCUCCAUUGCGCUUAUCUUUAAUUUGUGUGCAAUAUCAUCCAAUAUUUAUAAAAUAUUAGUGUUCCAAAAUUGUAAAAUAUUUCCCACAAGUUAUUCAAGCCUGAAAUUUGAGAUUUUUUUUUUAAAUUCUAACACAAUGAUAUGACUACUAUAAUAAUGAUAAGUCCAGAGUUCGAAUCUUAAUUUAUACAUUUUUACUUAAAUUUACCUGAUAAUAUAUUAUAUGAAUCUAAUAUAUCAUCUGAAGAUUGACAGUUUUACAUCUAUAAAGAGGUAUCUUCAAAAUAAACUUUGCAUACUUUUCAAGAUAAACUUUGAAUAAUUCAUCCAUUUUAAUUUUCAAGAUAAACUUUGCAUACUUUUCAAGAUAAACUUUGAAUAAUUCAUCCAUUUUAAUUUUCAAGAUAAACUGAAAAAAAUCAUUAAAAUAAAUAAAAUCAUAAAACCGAUUUUUUUUAAUUUAUGCACAAAAAAAAAAUUUUAAGGUAAAAAUCCAAAACAAAUUUAAAAGAGUAAUGGUUUGUCAAACCAAAUAUUAGUCUUCCAAAAUUGUAAAAUAUUUCCCACAAGUUAUUCAAAUGAAAGGAGCAAGCCUGAAAUUUGAAUGGCUACUAAUAUUCAAGCCUGAAAUUUGAGAAUUUUUUUUUUAAAUUCUAACACAAUGAUGUGACUACUAUAAUAAUGAUAAGUUCAGAGUUCGAAUUUUAAUUUGUACAUUUUUACUUAAAUUUACCUGAUAAUAUAUUAUAUGAAUCUGAUAUAUCAUCUGAAGAUUGACAGUUUUACAUCUAUAAAGAGGUAUCUUCAAAAUAAACUUUGCAUACUUUUCAAGAUAAACUUUGUGUAAUUCAUCCAUUUUAAUUUUCAAGAUAAACUUUGCAUACUAUUCAAAUAAAAUAUCAUGAAUAAUUCAAUAUUGACAGGGAAUCAAGUGAGAAAAAAAUCAUUAAAAUAAAUAAAAUCAUAAAACCGAUUUUUUUUAAUUUAUGCACAAAAAAAAAAAUUAAGGUAAAAAUCCAAAACAAAUUUAAAAGAGUAAUGGUUUGUCAAACCAAAUAUAAAAGAGUUGCGACCCACAUCAUUGUAAAUACCUGCAUUAAACUGAGAUGUGUGAAACUUUUACUGUUCACAAGCUUCUGCCUAAAACGUAAGAAUAUAGAAUAUGCAAACUUUAGAGUAGUUAAUAAUACAAGCCAAUGUUAAUCAUAUGUUUAAAAAGAAAUUAAUUUAACAGAUUGAAUAAAAAGGCUCUCUGACGUUAUUGAAUGGCCAUAAAACAAUGAAAAAUGGAUGUAGACAAAGGAUCCUUGGUGUAUUCCGUUGACACUUUUGUAAACUGAGCCUCCUUUCAACAAUCAGGAUUUACAUGCAGCAAUUCGAUUAUCAUCGAAUGCCAACUGCUUUGACAAUAUGCUUUUACACAUCCUACAUUGGCGAUGACUGGUGUCGGUUGAUUUCCCUACUGAGAUGAAAAGCUGAAAAACAUUCCUACGAAUGAUAGUGUCCAUCUUGAAAAGGAAGGUGGACGAACACCCAGAGAAUUGGGCGGACAAGAUCCCCGAGACCAUGUGGGCGUAUCGCACGACCAUCCGAACCCCCACAGGCCAGACACCGUUCGCCCUCGCAUUCGGAAUCAAGGCAGUCGCACCAGCCGAACUUGUAUGGCCAACGGCUCGAAUCGAGCAGUUCCAGCCAGGAGCGAACAACCAAGCACUGCUCUUAGAGAACGAGUGUCUGGAGCACCGAAGAGAGGAGGCGUCCAUCAGGGACCUCACGUAUAAGCGAAGGGUGGCGAGGUAACACAACGAGAGCUAGGGUAUCCGAGAAGAACCUGGCGCAGGGCGACCUCGUACUAAGAAACGUCAAAGUGAUCGACGGGGGUGGAUCAGACGAAGGGGAAGCUAUCGGCAAGAUGGGAAGGCCCGUACGUCAUCAUGGACGAAAUUCACCCGGGCAUCUUCCGCCUAGAAUACGAAGAUGGGCAGGAGAUAGAAAGGACGUGGCACGCCGACAACCUAGAAAAGUAUAGGCGGUGAGGACCGGGGCACCACGCGGGUUCUAUCUUUCUUUUGAUUUUGUUUCUCCCUUUGUAUGUAACAUAUCCGACCACGGCACAUGAUGCCUAAUGAAAUGCACCCAGAGUGCCCCCAUUAAUCAAAAAGCACCCGACUUCCAGACUAAGAGCAAAGAAGUAAAAAAAGGGAGCCCGCCGAAAAGGCCAGCAGAAGGUUCCCAAGGUCGGAAGACCGUGCGGGAACGUUCGAACGGCCCAGGCCGCUCCUCGAAGGAAAACGCGCAAUAAGUAAGAAUGGGAAAACGAUACAUUGUGAAAAAGAAAAAAACUCUAAGUGUCGAAAAGGGAGGCAACGCCCGAUCCCCCGUGGCAUAGGCGAGUUGGGAACGAAGGAGCAAAAACAAGGGGGCCCGUUGAAAAGGCCAGCCGAGGUUUCCCGAGGUCGGAAGACCGCGUGGGAGCGCUCGGACAGCCCAGGCCGCCCCCCGAAGGGAAACAUACAACGAGUAGGACAACGAAAAGGAUAUAUUGCGAAAGAAAGAGAAAGAGAAAACAAGCAUCCAAAAUAACGAAAAAAAUUCUAAAUGUCAGAAUGUGUUUAACGAGCGGAAAGCAAAAAAUACACGGCCGAACGAAAGACCACAACAAUCUGAAAAGGGCUCGGUGUACUCAGGGAAAUCGGCUUCGAGGUUUUCUUCUUCACCGUCACUCGCAUCCACGGUGGGCUGAUAAUUGGGGACGCCCGCAGCCUGCCAAUUCUCCCAGUCACGGACGCUUCGAGGCACGACAAGAUCCUCAAGGGGGGAUGAAUGAGGGCACACAUCUUCCGCCUUUCCAUAAGCUGGCGCGUUUUGAGUCUUGGAGCUGAGUCGUAUGAUCUGAUUUCAUCUCCUCCAGACACUCCUCGAAGGUGGGCACGAAUGACGCCACGAAUUCGUCUUGGGCAGCAGUCACGGCGGAAUGAAGGGCAGCUUUGGCUGCGACGGCACGGUCUCUUUCCUCCUAGGCUGCUUUCGAAGCCUCCGCAACCAGCUGAUCCUGCUCCCGCAUGACGGCAUCCCAUUGCGCUGACAUAUCGUCGACCUGUGCGCACAGAUUUUGGAUCUCUUCGUCUUGGCAGAGGCCAUGCUGCAAACGGACCUUGGUGAGAACCGAGAGCUGGAGCAUCUGGUGAUUGAGGUCACGGUCGAUAUCCGAAGGGGCGCGAUUGAGCUGCCGUACGUACUCCUCUUCCGUCCGCAGCCAGGAGUCGAUGGACGAGAGUUUCUUCUUAAAAAUCCCACCGAGGCGGGGCACGAAGGAGGAGGGGUCGACGCCGGCAGCGAACUCGGACGAGUGCUCGCAAUUCUUCACGAACACAUAGAAGAGGUCGGGAUUCAGCCCAUCCUUCAGAAGAGUGGCUUGAAGGUCGUCAGACAGGACGACAGGUCAGGACCGGGGUAGACGCGGUCUCGAACUCCUCAAAUUUCUUUUUCUCAGCCUGAAUCUUCUUCCUUCUCCGUUUUUCAGCCCGGUGGUCUUCAAUUGCAAUGUCGGCCUCAACAUCGGGCUCGUCUUCGGGAUCUCGAGGCGGGGGCGACGGAGGGUGGAACUAGACUUCAAGGGCCCUCUUCUUGUGCGAGCGCUUGGGCGGAUCGUCCCGAGUAUAAUCCACUUCAACUCCAUAUGCUCCGAGUAGCUCCAGGACUGAGCCAACGUCCGAGCAUUCAUGCCCCCACGGCGAUAGAUGUUGAUCAACACUUCGUUCGCAUUUCUCUGCGUCAGAUAAAAAACAAAAAAAAUAACAACAAGUUACAAGUGCGACAGAUAAAAAACAUAGAGAGCGUCAGGGCAUCUCGGGCGCCACACCCACAAAAGCGAGCCCACCAGCCGAGGAGGCACGGGAGUGGGCACGGAUCGCACCAGGGCGGGCCUAACGGCCCGGCUUCAGGGACCCCGACAAGAAAUGGCGCAGGUCAGUAGCCGGAAGGGACGAGGACCCACGGGAGCGCGCGGUGGCCACGCGACUGACGGCGACGGCCAGUAGCCUCAGCAGGAGAAGCCGCAGGAACUGCGAUCGUGAUGUUAGCAUGGAAGGUGUCCGAGGAUCCACGGGAGCCCGAAGCGGCGGCAGGAGCGGCGUCAGGGGGUUCGACAGCAUACCGGCUCGCAAGGAGGUCAGAGCGGCAAUACUGAAAGAGACGGCGGUGGACGUCGAUCAGCACAGCGUUGAGACGUUGGGUCUCUGCCACGUCCACGUGGUUAGGGACGCCGGCGGGCGACAGCAGGCACAUGGCCCACGCGGUGUGCUGAAGCUGCACUUCACGGCCAUACUCUUCAAGGACAUCCUGAAUGUUCAUCACGAAAGAAGGAAAGAAUGAGAAACCAAUGUAGCAAACACCCUAUUUAUAGGAGGGAAGAAAAAGGGAGCAGCUCGAACCUCGAGGAGUCUUUAAGGCUAAUAAAGAGGAGAGGUUGAAGGCCAGGUACGGACGGGAGGUCCCCGGGCUCCGGCCCCUGAGGAGAGGGGGGAAGUAUUGUUGGUACCAUGGACGGCCCCAACGGUUGAUAGACCGAACGAAUAGCCUUCAAGGCCCAGGCGCACAAAUGGGCCCGAAGGAGCAAGUGGGCCGGAGAACCCAUGAGGCCCAGGAGCAAGCAAGAAACACUAUAAAUACCUCCCCUAGUCCAUUAGGGGUCAAGGAGGGGCACUUUCUGGGCUUCCGAAUCACACCCUAGGGGAUCAAGCCAAGGGGAUAAAAGGUCGAGGCCGUCAUGGCCAUGAGCCCACCACGGACGCUGAAAGAAGUCCAGAAGCUGAACAGAAGGGUGACGGCGUUAAGCAGGUUCCUGCCGAGGACGGCGGACCGCUUACGACCGUUCUUCCAAUUGUUGAGGAACCCAGGACCCAAGGUAGUUUGGUCGGACGAAUGCGAGGCGGCCUUCAAGGAACUCAAGCUCCAGCUCUCGAGCCUGCCAAUGCUCCGCCCCCCAGUGAGGGGGAACCUCUUACCAUGUACGUGGCUUGCUCGGACUCGGCCGUCAGCACGGUACUUAUCUCGGAGGCGGAAGGCGGACAGAGGCCAGUAUAUUAUCACUCCCGGUCGCUGCUGGGAGCGGAGGAGAGAUACCCAGAAAUCGAAAGACUGGCCCUAGCGGUGGUCUCGGCAGUCCGGAGGUUGAAACCAUACUUUCACGCCCACACCGUCACGAUCCAAACGGCCUACCCGCUGCUCCAGCUGCUGCAAAAGCCGGACGUCUCGGGAAGACUGACCAAAUGGGCCAUGGAACUUAGCGAAUUCCACUAGUCAUCGUUCCAGCAAGGGCGGUUAAGGGGAAGGCAGUGGCGGACUUCAUGGCCGAGCUAGCCCCGAGGGACGGCGAGAAGACAGACGAGCAGUGGUGGACAACCCAUGUGGACGGGUCGUCCAACAACACAGGCUGCGGCGCGGGGGUCGUGGUAAAAACCCCGACGGGGGAAAAGAUCGAGUAUUCGAUCCAUUUUGAGUUCUGGGCAACCAAUAACGCAACGGAAUACGAAGCCCUCCUAUCGGGAGUCAGGCUAACGCGCGCGUUGGGCGCGUCCAGGGUGCACUUCCACACGGACUCCCGGCUGGUAGCCAACCAAGUCAGAGGGGACUUCGUAUCUAAGAAAGACUCAAUGGCGAGCUAUGUGACCGAAGCAAGAGCGGCCCUGGGCAAGCUCGAAGAAUGGAAGAUCUCCCAGAUAGGGAGAGAGAGCAACGGGGAGGCCGACACGCUGGCCAAGCUGAGAGCGUCCCCAGGAAAAACAGAAGGAAGGUAGAUCCGAAUCGAGAACCAGGAGCGGCCAACGACAGCCAGCAGUCCCAAGUCGACCGGGGUGUGCGGCAUAAUAACGUCGGGGGAUUGGAGAACACCAAUCAGGAGAUUCAUCGAGGCAGGCGAAGUGCCAGCGGAUCCGAUGGAGGCCAGGAAGCUAAGAAACAGAGCAGCCUGGUUCGUGGUGGCCCAAAGCAGGCUAUACCGACGAUCAGCGGCGGAGGAGGCCCCCCUGCGACUGUGCGUCUUGCGGGAGGACGGGAAAGCCAUCGCACGAAGCCUUCACGAAGGGGCAAGCGGAGCGCACCAAGGCGGAAGAGCGUUGGAAAAGUAGGUAGCCAGGCAAGGCUACUACUGGCCCGAAUCAAUAAAGGAUUCGGAGGAGAUCGUCGACCGGUGCGACGAAUGUCAGAGGCACUCGAACGUCCAGAGGCGGCCGUCCACCAUGAUGAAGGCCGUAGCAACACCGGUCCCAUUCGCAAGGGGAUUGACAUAGUCGGGCUGUUCCCGCCGGCGUCAAGAGAAAGGAAGUUCCUAUUUAUAGCGGUCGACUAUUUCACAAAGUGGGCCGAGGCGGAGGCCACGAACACAAUCAAUGAACAAAACGUGGUAAACUUCGUCUUCAGAAGCAUCGUCUCCCGGUUCGGGGUCCCGAUCCAGAUAGUAACGGAUAACGGGACGCAGUUCACGGGCAAGAAGUUAAGAGAAUUCUGCGAAGACAGUGGAAUCAAGCUGAGCUUCGCGCCAGUAUACCACCCGCAGGUGAACGGGCAAGUGGAGGUCACGAACCGGACGAUAACAUCGAUCCUGAAGAGGAAAGUGGGCGAACACCCGGGGAACUGGGCGGACCUAAUUCCCGAGACUAUGUGGGCAUACCGCACGACCAUCCGAACCCCCACGGGCCAGACCCCAUUCGUCCUCGCUUUCGGGGUGGAGGCGAUAGCACCGGCCGAAUUGGUAUGGCCGACCGCGCAUAUCGAGCAAUACCAACCAGGGGCGAACGAUCAAGCGAUGUUCCUAGAAAGGGAGCACCUAGAGGGCCGGAUAGAGGAGGCGUCCAUCAGGGACCUCACUUACAAACGAAGGGCGGCGAGGUAUCACAACGAAAGAGUGGCCGACAAGAACCUGGCGUCAGGUUAUCUGGUGUUGAGAAACGCCAAAAUAACAGGAAUCGACCAGACAAAUGGGAAGUUGUCGGCAAGAUGGGAAGGCCCGUACGUCAUCAUGGACGAAAUUCACCCAGGCAUCUUCCGCCUAAGAUAUGAGGAUGGGCAAGAAAUCGAAAGAACGUGGCACGCCGACAACCUGGAAAAGUACAGGCGGUGAAGCAACGUGUCCGAGACCGGCGAAAGAGUUCUUUUUCUUUUUUCUUCCUUGUCUCGUUUCCCCCCUUCCCAUGUAACGUCGGGCACCCCCCCGACCACGGCACGCGAUGCCCAGUAAAACGCACCCGGAGUGCACCCAUUGUAAAAGGAAAAAAUGAGAAGUAAAAAAUUGGGGGAGCCCGCCGAAAAGGCUAACGGAAAGCUCUCAGGGUCAGGAGACCGCAUGAGACCAUCCGGAUGGCCCAGGCCGCUCCCUCAAAAAAUGGAAAAAACGCAAUAAGUAAGAACGCGAAAGCGAUAUGUUGCGAGGCAAGGAAAAAGCAGGGGAGCCGCCGAAAAGGCUAACGGAAAGUCCUAAGAGCCAAAAGGCUGCAUGGGAACGUCCGAAUGGCCUAGGCCGCUCCUCCCAAGAAAGAAAGCAAUUGAAGUAAGAGAGAAGUUUAGCGUGGAAAAGGACCGGCCGGGACGUUCCUAGCCAGCAAGCUACGCAGAGCACCUAAACGAGCGACAACGCCACCCAGAAAGGACAGGGGCGGUGAGUAAACGAACGCGGAAGGAGAAAAGGUCAGAAGAAGAAGAACAGAGGGCGAUUGAAUACAUUCAAGAUUUACGAAUGAAUAUAAAAACGAAAAAAAGUUAAGUGUUUUUACAUUACAAAGAAAAAGAAGAAAAUAAAAACUGUUCAGGGACGAACGAAGGGUAUUCGAGGGGAGGCUCGGUGUAAUCAGGAAAGUCGGCCUCAAGGUCCUGCUCCUCGCUUUUGCUCACGUCCAGGGGAGGCUGGUAGGAGGGGACGCUCGUUUUUCUCCAUUCUUCCCAAUCUCGGCGGCUCCGGAGCACGACGCCGUACGAAAGGGGCGAGUAGACGAGUUCACACAUCCGGCGCCCGUGCUGAUAGCCCUUCCAGAAGCCGGCACGUUUGGAGUCCUUCAUCAAGAUGGCGUGGUCCUGCUUCAGCUCCGCCAAACGGUCUUCGAAGGUUAGAACAAAGCCCUUAAUGAACUCGUCCUGAGCCACAGCCACGGCGGCGACAAGAGCGUCCUUCGCAACAGUGGCCCGAACCUUCUCCUCCGCGGCAGCCCGGCAAACAUCAGCGGCCAGAAGGUCCCGUUCACGCACGACCGCCUCCAGCUGACCCUUCACCGCGGCAAGCUCGGCGUGCAUCUGCUGAACCUCCUCGUUCUACCGAAGACCCUGCUCCAACCGAACCUUGGUGAGAACCGAAAGUUGAAGCAUCUUGUGGUGCAGGUCGCGGUCGAGGUCCGACGUUGGGCGCGAAAGCAGCCGAACGUACUCAUCCUCCGGCUCCAACCAGGAAUCAAUGUCGGGGAGUUUUUUCUUGAAAAUCCCGUCGAGACGGGGCAGGGAGGACGCAGAGUCGACGGGAGCGGAGAAGUCCAUCGAGUGUUCAAUGCUCCGUACGAAGGAGCGGAAGUGUUCAGGAUCCAAUCCAUCUUUCCGGAGAGAAUCCAGAAGCUCGGCAGACAGGGGGUCAGAGCGGCUGGGUUCAGAGGAGCCUAUGUUUUCCACCACGACCGCGCAUCUCCAGGGCAUCGGCGACAGACUUUCGUUUCGCGGACCAAAUCUUUUUCCGUCGUCGUCGUUCGGCCCGGCUGUCUCGAAGGCCAGUGUCAGACUCGGCCGGGACGUCACCCUCGGCUCCGAGAUCGCACGAAGGCGGGGACUCAAACUGAAUGGCGUCGUGCGGCCGUUUCUGUUUCUGACGUUUGGGCGGCCCGUCCCGAGCGUAAGAUGUCUUGACGGGCAGAGCCAGGUGUGCGUCAUAACUCCACGACUGGGCCAGUGUCCGGGCGUUGACGGCCCCGCGGCGAUAGAUCUCGGUAAAAACCUCAUGGGCGCAUAAUGCCUGGGGCGCCAACGCGUCUCGGCCAGGGGCGGCGGUCCGAGUCUUCAGCUGGGUCAGCAGAGCCCAGCGAGAGGGGAGAGGCGCCUCCGGAUCUGACGGACCAAGGGCGCCCACGGGGACGAAGAAGAACCGGUCCCGCCAGUGGUGUGAUCGGUCGACCAGUUGGUCGAAGAGGGCACCGGCCGAUCUUCGCCAGAGCAUCCCGGAUCACGUCGGCUCCAACCGUGGAUAGAGGGUUCUUGCUGGAGGGGGCGGCAAAAAACGAUUCUGCAAGAGCAGCGCCGGCGUCAGAGCGAGAAGCGGCAGCGGAGCCAGCGGCAGAGGGAGGAGGAGCAGCCAUUAGCAACCUGGUGAAGGAAGGGAGUCGGAGUCGAGGAAGACGAAAAGCGAGGUGAGAGGAAAUGAAAAUCAGUCGCGAGUGAAGAAGGGGAGCAGGGUUUAUAUAAGGGUUCGAGGGCGCGGAAGACGAGGCGUCGCUUACCUGGAACGGAUGGGACCGGUUGGGCCGGGAGGCCUCCGAGGGAGCCCAAGGUCCUGUCCGUCGGGAAGCAGAGUGAAGGUCAGCGCCCGUCGCGGACGGCAAGGCGUUGGAGAGACGCCCGGCGAAGACCCGGCGGCGUCCAGCGACCAAACAAUGCGCGCGGAGCGAGGCGGCAGUGUCCAAGCAGGCCCACCGGCGGGCCCGACCAAUGGAUCGAACGAAACGACGUAACGGGCGAGCCCCCGCGUCGGCGAAGGGGGGACCCGCGGUGGGGAGCGAGGGCAGAGCUCAAGAAGGGCCCGGGCAACGUCGGCAGAAGACGCCGAAUAGCGCAAAGCUGCACCAACGUGCGAAGGCGAAGUCAAAACACGAGAGAAAGAAAAAGCGAAGGAAAAGCAUGUAUUAAAGCAAAGCAAGUGUUACAAUAGCCGGUGGCACGGAGGGAGAACAAAACAUAACAACAACGAAGUACGGGUACAGAAAAAAAGAGGAAAAGGGAUCGCCGGGACGUCCCAGACGUCGCCCCACGAAGGCAAACCCAUAGCCUGAAAAGGCGUGGGAGCGAUUGCGGAUAGCUCCACGAUGGGCCUAGCGGGCCGGCUUCGAUGACCCCGACAGGAAGUGGCGCAGGUCAGUAGCCGGAAGGGACGAAGACCCACGGGAGCGGCGAGGGCCGCGUGACCGACGAGGCUUUCUCAAAAAAUCGGCAGCAGCAGCGACAGCAGGAACGGCGAUCGUACCAUGCGCGUUGAAGGCGCGCGAGGUACCAACGGAGCCCGGGACGGCGGCAGGAGAGGCAUCGGGGUAGGCGACGGCAGGAGGGCUCGCGAGGAGGUCGGAGCGGCGAACCUGGGAGAGGCGACGGUGGACGUCGAUCUGCAAAGCGUUGAGACGUUGAGUCUCAGCCACGGUCACGCUAUUAAGGACGCCAGCGGGCGACAACAGGCACAUGGCCCAGGCGGCGUGCUGAAGUUGCACUUCGCGGCCGUACUCCUCGAGGAUGUUUUGAACACUCAUGGCGAAGGAAGGAUGGUGUGAGAAGUCGAAGAGGCGAGUGGGCUAUUUAUAGGAAGGAGAAGAGGGAGCGGCUCGAACAUCGAGGAGCUUUAAAGGAGAUGGUUGUAGGCGGGGCGAGGACGGGCGGCCCCUGGGCCCGGGCCCGUCGAGGAAGGGGGGAGUACUGUUGGUACCAUGGACCGCGGACCGCGGCCCAUGGACCGAACUGGGCCGAUCGGCGGCUCGGGCGAACGGGCGGGCCCAACGUACGAGCCCACGAGGCCCUAAGGACAGCAGUGGAAGGCUAUAAAUACCUCCCCUGGUUCAAUAGGGGAGGCGGUUGAUAAUUCUAAGAGUGAUACUUGUACUAAGGUUGGACGGCGAGCUUACUCCGGCGAGCCCACACACCAACAUGUGUAUAUAUAUAUAUAACCGAAUAGCUCAUUAAUUGGGUUUAAUCCAUCUAAUUUAAUUAACCCACCAACUUAAUUUUUUUUUAAGGCGAUUUUUAUAAAAUAAAAUUAAAAGAGUACAAAGGAUAAAAAAAACAUAAUGAUAAACGAAAAAAAACUGAAAACAUAGCGUGAAUCUCCAUCGUGUCUAUCUAUGACUAGCUUCGGAUCGUGUUUUCAGUUGAAAUAACUCAUGCCUGAAACUUUUAGAACCUUUAGAGAGUUUCAAUACUUGUCUUCACUUGUCUUCAUCUUUUUCUAUCCCUGCAACUGUCAUCUUUUUCUUCAAUCAUCUUUCCCAUCUAGUAACACAUCACAUUUCCUCUUCCAUUUCCUAGAUUGCAUUUGUCAUCUAACGAUAUAACCUCCUGAUUUCCCUUCUAGAUUAAAUCCCUAGUUUUUCAUCCUCAAACGGGAAGAAAAUUGGUUAAAUCUGAAAGUAACUCAGAACGAAAUCGAAAAAGCUUCUUGAUCUGCGGGCGAGGCCAUACAGCGACAAGGAGAAGUGGCGAGAAGUUUUCUUUCCCUCCUCUGCACCCGAAAAGGAGCAACGGAAUCACGAUCAUAAAAGAAAUGAGAAAAAAUCGAAUAAGUUUCAGGAGGCAAAAAACAAGUGGAGAGAUAAGGAGUUGCGGGUGAGGAUCUAAGACGACGAUCUACAAUGGAGAAGGAAAACGGUGAAAAAAGGGAAGAAGAAAAAGCUUGUCUCCCCCCCCCCUCUCUUUUGAGAAAGGAACCCACCAACUUAAUUAUUAUCGAUUCAACUUUGUAGUUAUAUAUGAUUCAAUAAAAAAAUAUAAUAAUAAAAAUGAUUGCUAUAACAAUUUUUUGAUGGAGAAAAUGAGGAAAUUUUUAGGCCAAAACCACACACAAUAUAUAUACUAGUAUUAAAUAUUUAAUUUGUAGGAAAUACAGGUAUCAAUAUGAGUGGAUGUUUCCUACAUAAAGUUCCUUUAACACAUUCAGUCAUGUCAAGCUCUUCUCCCGGCACACCGUCUGGUAUCUUCCAAUUGAAAUGAUAUAGAAUGGUAGCAAGAAAAAGUUCAACAUUAGCUAGGGCAAAUGUUAUACCAGGACAAAUUCUUUUUCCAGAACCAAAUGGAAUUAAAUCAAAGUGGGAUCCUUUGAAAUCUAUUGGAUUUCCCAUGAACCUCUCUGGUUUGAAUACUUCUGGAUUUUCCCAUUUGUUUGGAUCUCGUCCUAUCGCCCAAGCAUUCACAAGGAUGCUUGUCUUUUCUUCUACAUCAUAAUCAUUUAUUUGACAUUUCUCCCUACAUUCAUGAGCGAGAAGUGGCACAGGUGGAUGGAGCCUCAAGGUUUCUUUGAUGACGUUUUGCAUGUAGCUCAUUUCCUUGCUAAAAGAAUUAUCAUAAUCAUCAGCUUCUGUACCGAUUAUUUUAAAGGUUUUUCUCACCUCAAAUGUCACUUUCUUCAUGGUUUCUGGAUUUUUCACCAACUCAGAUAUUACCCAUUCUAGUGUUGUGGAAGUUGUUUCUGUUCCCGCAAUAAAAAUGUCCUAAAAAUACCAAUUGAAAAAUGAUUUAUGGAGUUUCAAGGAAAUACGUACAUAUAGAUCGACUUUAAUUUUGAGUUAUAAAAAAUGAUCAACUUACCAACAAUACCGCCUUCAAAUUAUUCAUAGUAAAUUCAAAGCCAGAUUCAUUUUUCUUUUGAAUUUUGAGAAGAAUAUCAAGAAAAUCUUCAUCAUCAUCUGCUACCCCAUUUUUGUUAUUUUUUGAUUUCUCA
rnacentral:lncRNA from 1 species